rnacentral:piRNA from 1 species
UUGGGCCCAAAAAUUGUCUUU